rnacentral:rRNA from 1 species
GACAGAGGGGGUAAGCGUUGCUCGGAAUUACUGGGCGUAAAGGGCGCGUAGGCGGGAUGGCAAGUCGGUCGUGAAAUCCCUCGGCUCAACCGAGGAACGUCGAUCGAUACUGCUGUUCUUGAGGAUUGCAGAGGAGACUGGAAUUCCCGGUGUAGCGGUGAAAUGUGUAGAGAUCGGGAGGAACACCGGUGGCGAAGGCGGGUCUCUGGGCAAUUCCUGACGCUGAGGCGCGAAAGCGUGGGGAGCAAACGGG